UGAGUAACACGUAUGCAACCUGCCUGCCACAGCCGGAUAAUCGGGAGAAAUUCCGUCUAAUACGGCAUAAUGCAUCGACGGGACAUCCUGUUGGUGCCAAAGGUUAAUUCCGGUGGCGGAUGGACAUGCGUCGCAUUAGUUAGUUGGCGGUGUAACGGACCACCAAGACGACGAUGCGUAGGGGUUCUGAGAGGAAGGUCCCCCACACUGGUACUGAGACACGGACCAGACUCCUACGGAAGGCAGCAG
rnacentral:rRNA from 1 species